GUGCACUGUUCGUGACCCGUUUUGGAGUUCAGUCCGAAACAUGGGUUCCAUUCCAGUGCAAGAUGAAUGUUCAGUGAGGCAGGGGAGUGGAGCUCUUAUGUGCAUAACUCCCUGUUCACUCUCUGGCGACAAAU
ensembl:snoRNA